AGGCAUUUAGGAAGUGCUUAGCUGGUUAAGCUUAGAUUAUUUGAAGCUAACUUAAUCGUCAUGAGAGUUUGCUGGUAGGGAUACAGGCA
rnacentral:sRNA from 1 species